UUAUGUUUAUGAUAUGCUUGUUUGGGGUUAUUGUUGAAUAUAAGUUAGAAUUUCUGCUUUGAUGGGUUUGGAUUGAUUUGUAGUUUAUUUUGCAUCUGUGAUACUUUGAUAGAUCAUGUGUUGAUAGAAUUGAACUGUGAAAUUGAUGUCCUUUUUCAUAUAGUUAUAAAUUUUUGUUAUUGAAAAAUUUACUUUAUGAUAUUUGACUAGCUAAUCUAAUAUAGGUUUAGUUAAAAAAAAUUAUGAUAUGUAAAGUGUUUGAUACCGUGAAUUAGCUCAAGGAAGGUCAAUUUUCACAAAUCAAACUCAAAGUAGAUUUUUUGUGAAUUGGGAUGAAGUUGGACACCAUUGAGAUAUUUACUUCUCUGAGUUGGUCGCUGAUGGGUGAGGGUUCCUCUUGCUAGGUGAUACCAAACUCAAAUAGCUCACUGACUUGGUGUCGCUAUGUACCAAUCAUAACCGUUGGGCGCCAAAAAAUCCAAAUAAAUCUUAGGAACUCCAUGGGUUCUCUUGCUGAGCCACCAUUGGACUCGUUAGGUGCCAUUUAGUUUCCAUUGUGUGUUACUCUUUUAGGAUUUGUCCGAUUUCAAACAGGGCAGACUCAGUCAAAUUCAACAAAAUUUCGCCUCCAAUCGAAAUUCGACCAAGUUAGACCGAACCAAAAUUUAGCUAAUUUGGAACAAGUCAGCCUUAGCCAUCUUUCGGUUGAGUCUACCUGAUUCAAAAUUCAGUUGAAUUCAACCAAGUUGGCCCUUAUCGAAAUUUGGUCGAAUUUGGCUUAGCCGACCUGUCUCGACCUACAACCUAAGUCGAUUUGUUUAGAUAAUCAAUUUGUGUUGACCAGUCUCGACCUUCGGCUUGGAUUGCCCAUCUCAAUCUUUGGCCUAGGCCAACCUUCUCGACCUUCGACCUUUGCCGUCCGUUUCAAACUUCGGUCUAGGCUGGCCAAUCUCGAGUUUCAACCUAUGUCGGUUUGGUUUGGCCUUCGGCCCCAGACGAAAUGCUAAACGACUAAUAAGUUAAUGUGUCUAAGAAAGUUAUGCUAAACACGUAACUUAUAUUGUACCCAAGGGGUAUUGAAUUAAACUCUCGAGAAGACAGAAAAAGUGUCAAGAUUAUGUCUUUGAAAAACACCCUAAAAACCUUAAACCUAGAACGUAAAAGAAAACACAACAUGCUAAAUGCCUUUACUCUAAGAAGGAAAAAUCAUGAAAAACGUUUACAUCAGUCUAGAUGAUACCAUGAGUUAAAAUUGUUACUUCAUCUAACGAUGAAGUUCUUUCUCAAUGUUUGGUAUCUCUAAACGAAAAGCUUAAUUGUCAAACACUACCUCAAUAGUAGAAAAUGAAAAACACUUUGUUGUUCUAAGUAAGCAUUAAAUGAUAUUAAAUGCUUAAUGUUCAAAAACAACAAUCUGGUGCAUGCACAAUCUAUUCUAUUCUUUACAUAAAACCUACUCUACACGCAUCCACAUGCUUCAUUCAAAAUAUUAAAAGUGGGCGUUAGAGAUAAAUGAGAUAUUCAAGGAAUGUUCUUCACUUGAGAAGUAGUGUCUAAAAGAAAGUACAACAUACUUCAAGCAAAAUACUGAAAAAGCAACUCUGCUUUGACAAGUUGACUUUAACCAACAACUGUUGUACAUGAAGAAAGAGAAGACAAAAGAAUCAAGGCUAAAAUCUCAGUCUAACGGAUAUUUUAUCAAGAGCCUUUAAAUAGAAGAACACUCAAAGCAAGAAUAAAGAGGAUAAUAUAUAACAAAAAUAUUCAUCCUGAGAAAAAAAUUAAAAAUAUAAGUACAAAAGAGCUCAAGAAAAAGACAAUAUCUGAGAAGAAAAAGAAGUGAAGCAAUAUUCUCAAGCUUCAUUGUAAAUUUUCUUACUGUUGUAAGAAAGAGAGAAAAAGAGAAAAGAGAGAAACACCUACGAGUGUUUUGACUGUAUUGUAUUGUACACAUAUCCUCUCUACGAGAGUAAUAGUCUAAAUGACUUGUAAGCAAUCAUUGAUUGCAAUUCUGAAGAGAAUUAAAACACUUGUUGAACUCAGUAGAGUUAAGGAAAUCUAGGUUGUGUUAUCUAGUACCAGGAGUGAUGCGAAUACUCCACUGAUCUAGGGUAACAGAAGGUCAUUCGCUGAUCAGGGAUACUAGAAGUGGUGUGAGUACUCAUCUAUUGUAAGGUAACGAGAGAUUAUUUGUUGACUGGGGAUACUAGGAGUGGUGCAAAUACUCACCUAGUCUAGGGUAAUGAAAGGUUAUUCACUGACUGAGAAUACCAUGAGUGGUGGUUGUAAUCUUGUUGAAGAUUAUAGUGGAACCUUCUGUGGAUAUAGGAGAUUGGUCGUAGCUUAGUUAGAGUGGACUAGUAUAAAAAUAUUUGUGCAAUUAUUUUUUACUUUUGUCUAAACGCUUCUCUUAUUAAAAACCUGUAGCUACAUUUUAUUUCUACAUACAAGUAACUUCUGCACUAAAUGAUUCUCAUUUAACUAAGGAAGUUCUUAUAAACAUUACAUCGUAUAUUGUGAAUAACACGUAAAAAGGAAACUAUCUUUCACAAUCAUUUACAAGGUCGAGUGUUUAAAUACUUAUUUGACAAAUUUAAUACUCGACGAACGUGCUAUAUCAAAACGGUUGUGAAAAGAUUUUUCCAUUAACAUUAUUCAACCCUUUCUUCUAGUGUUUUUUAGGUACUUCACUCAAGAUCAACUUGUCUCUAUGUUCAGCCCGAGUCAGCCAAUCUUGCCUUGCUGCAUAGGCUGACUUAUCUCGUCCUUUGGCUCAGCCCAACCUAUCUCCUCCUUCGACCUAGGCUGACACAUCUCCACCUUGAGCUCGAGCUAGCUCGUCUUCGCCUUGAGCCUAGGCGGGGUCGUUUGGACCUUCAACCCAUUUUGAUCCAUCUCAAUUUUUGACUUAGGUCGGUUCAUUUUUGCCUUCGACCGAAACUAGUUUGUAUUGGCCUUCGGCCUAAGUCGACCCUUCUUGGCCUUCAGCCAGGGUUGACUCGUCUUUACAUUUGGUUGGGGUCUAUGUUCGGUUAAAGUUGACCCGUCUCUACGUUCAUCUCGAGUUGGCCUAUCUCGGCCCUCAAAAUAGGUUGCUCGUUUCGGCCUUCUGCUUGGGUCAACCAGUCUUGGCCUUUGGCCUGAGUUUGACCAUCUUAGUCUUUGGCUUAUAUUCGCACACUUAUAUUUCUCUCUCUUUCGUGCGUCGCAUCUCAUUUCCCUUUUGUGCUUUCCUCACGCAUCUCAUUUCUCCCAGUACACACAAACCACCCUCUCCCUCUACCUUUCCUCUGAAUCUAUCCAACAGCACACAAAGGCACACAACCCCUCGUGCUUCCGUCUCCCUUCGGUUUCCUCUUCCACUGUUGACUCUUGCACACAGAGCUCGUCCAUUCUCGCACACAAAGCUCGUCCCACUGUUGUCCCACUGCAGUCAUGCGAAGGAACAUGACACACAAACAAAUUUUCUUCUGGUUAAGGUUUGAAUGCCAGAGAGACAGAGGAGCUCCAGCGCCAACCAAUAGAGCAAACACCCACCCAGCAUCCUUACGAGUACCCAACAUCCCUACGAGGUGCCGCCAUGUACACAUACAACAACGCUUCCCUCCCACGCUCUGUCAAAUUCCUCGCACAUUUUCUCUCUCCGUAGGACACAUCCACGCCGUCGCCAAUGCAGUACGUCACCCCUCAUCAGCUGCAACACCACUAAGUUGCCCUAGGCGAGUUUGAUUCAGAGGCGAGUUCGAAUAACACGUACAACAGCUGCAGACCGCAUGAUUGCAGCCAAACGGGCGUGAUCGCUUUGCAGGUCGAAGAAAGCUGCUUUUAUCACAUGGCCAACUCUUUGUAGACUCGAGAAUCCCUUCCACCAAAUUCCAUGCUCAAACCCCAACUAGAACAUAUUCCACAUGCAAUUUAUUUGCUUAUAUUUCCAAAUGCACAAUAAUAUAAUGCCAUAGGGGAUAAAUACCUAGACAAAACAUUGGUAGAACUGUUAGAUCAUGUGCCCUUGCCCAGCUGCACCUCUAAAUUGUUAAUAUUUAUCUUGAUUUUCUAUAGUACUCUAAUAUUCUCCUAUGUCUCCUUGAAAGAAAAAAAUAAAAAGUUAUUCUCUAUAUGUUAUCUUCAUCCUAUAGAUUCUCUUUGUUUUUUACCCUCCUCCGAAAGAUGGAAUUUUUUAGUCUAACUGCUAUCAUUAAGAAUUUCUCAUUCUUUUUUCUUCAACUUUGUCAAAUAUUUAUUCAACAAUGUCGAAUGUAAGGUCUCGAAAAUUUAAACCACUGCCACCUGUCAAAUCACGUAAUUAUUACUCACAAAUCCUGUCCAGAAAUUUUAUUAAGAAACGCACCCACACCUCUUGUUCUUGACGCCAUUUAAUACACCAUCGUCACACGUGCAGUGCCAUUAAAACGCACUCACACUCAUUCUGCAUGCAGCUGCCAAGUGUCACUUUGGAACAUUCGAAAACGUUAGUGGAAUCCAAGUGGCACCAGGCGAAUGGACGUUCGUCCUACGUGGGAAGAGAAAUCACUUUUCUGGAAAACACUCUCCCACUUCUCUGCAUGUUUCAUCUUCUUCCCCAAAUUUCUGAUUUCCAAAUUCUCUACCUUCUCUCUAGAACUUCCACCUUCUCUCUACCAUAACUUACCUUCUUCUUCUCCGAUCAAA